rnacentral:rRNA from 1 species
GAUGAACGCUGGCGGCGUGCCUAAUACAUGCAAGUCGAGCGAACAGACGAGGAGCUUGCUCCUCUGACGUUAGCGGCGGACGGGUGAGUAACACGUGGAUAACCUACCUAUAAGACUGGGAUAACUUCGGGAAACCGGAGCUAAUACCGGAUAAUAUAUUGAACCGCAUGGUUCAAUAGUGAAAGACGGUUUUGCUGUCACUUAUAGAUGGAUCCGCGCCGCAUUAGCUAGUUGGUAAGGUCACGGCUUACCAAGGCAACUAUGCGUAGCCGACCUGAGAGGGGGAUCGGCGACACGGGAACGGAGACACGGUCCAGACUCCUACGGGAGGCAGCAGUAGGGAAUCGUCCGCAAUGGGCGAAAGCCUGACGGAGCAACGCCGCGUGAGUGAUGAAGGUCUUCGGAUCGUAAAACUCUGUUAUUAGGGAAGAACAAAUGUGUAAGUAACUAUGCACGUCUUGACGGUACCUAAUCAGAAAGCCACGGCUAACUACGUG